rnacentral:rRNA from 1 species
GAUGAACGCUGGCGGCGUGCCUAAUACAUGCAAGUCGAGCGAACAGACGAGGAGCUUGCUCCUCUGAUGUUAGCGGCGGACGGGUGAGUAACACGUGGAUAACCUACCUAUAAGACUGGGAUAACUUCGGGAAACCGGAGCUAAUACCGGAUAACAUGUUGAACCGCAUGGUUCAACAGUGAAAGACGGUCUAGCUGUCACUUAUAGAUGGAUCCGCGCCGCAUUAGCUAGUUGGUAAGGUAACGGCUUACCAAGGCAACGAUGCGUAGCCGACCUGAGAGGGUGAUCGGCCACACUGGAACUGAGACACGGUCCAGACUCCUACGGGAGGCAGCAGUAGGGAAUCUUCCGCAAUGGGCGAAAGCCUGACGGAGCAACGCCGCGUGAGUGAAGAAGGUCUUCGGAUCGUAAAACUCUGUUAUUAGGGAAGAACAAAUGUGUAAGUAACUAUGCACGUCUUGACGGUACCUAAUCAGAAAGCCACGGCUAACUACGUG